CGCACCUUGCGCCCUUCGGUAUUCCGUAGGGCAUGCCUGUUUGAGUGUCAUUAAAUUAUCAACUCUGAAAGUGUUUUCGCGCUUUUCUGAGCUUGGACUUGGAGUGUGCCGGACGUUCUUCGUUCAGCUCCUCUUGAAAUGCAUAUGUGGAACCUUUGCUGAUCUGCUCCAGCGUGAUAAUUAUCUACGUUGCAAGCCGUGACGCAGUUUGGGUUCUGCCUAAAACUGUCGACUCUGUUCGACGAAAAUCAUCUACAUGACGAUUUGACCUCAAAUCAGGUAGGAUUACCCGCUGAACUUAA
rnacentral:misc_RNA from 1 species